ncrna:unclassified sequences RAGATH-28 RNA
UGGGGAUUGAUUCGUCUCCUCGGAGGGAACGGCUGACAUAUUGCAGGAACACAGCAACCUAAUUUCCGAACAAAAUCAGGUUGCUGGGGGCGAAGC